CAGGGACCCACUUCCCUCCCUCUUCUCUUCCUCAUGUUGCUUUAUUCCAGUGGCUGGACAGCAAGCCUUGGAGAGGCUCUCUUGCUGCUGCUCACCACUCCACCAUCUUUCCCUCUCUCCCCCAAUUUCAGGUACUUCUGUCUGACAUCUUUCUGAGGAUUCCAUAUUCUUGUUGAAUCUGUCAUUCAAAUUUUGAACUGUUUUGGUUAGCUCAUCCAGUUAUUUACUUAUUUACCCAAAAUUCACUGUGGGCAGAUUGAGUAUAAUUGCUGUAAACUUUUAAUUCAUUUCCUCUUUGAACAUUUCUGUUAGUUGGUCUUUGUUUUUUCUCCCUUUGUGACCUUUUGCUCUGCGUUGGAGGAGUUUGGGUGGUGGUGGUCGGAGAUCUUCUAUUUCUGUGUUUCCCUGUUCUCCUACUUGUGUCUGUAUUUAUUUGUUUAUGUAUCUGUGUCUAUAUAUCCCUUUUGGAAGCACUGAGCUACAUCCCUGGCCCAACUGUUUAUUGUUCGUAGCUGCUCUGCAGUGAGGCGGGAGAGGUGAGGUGGAGGAUGCGGGUGUCUGCAGGGGUAGUGUUAGGCGCUAAGGAAGAGGUUUGAAACGGAGACGAGUGGUAGAUGAAAAGAAAAGAUACAUCAAGAGUCCGAUUUUAUUGGAGUACUUUUAGCUGAGUUGAUGGUUCAGUAUUACGAGUUUUCAGAGCAUAUUCUGUGUGGGCAAGGGUGAGAUAUAGGAGCAAGGGGCUUCACUUUGAGAUUAAGGAAAGCUAUGUGGUUAUCAGAACUUGCAUAUAGGGAAGACAGUAAACUAGGGAAGAUAUGAAAGAGCCAAAGGCUUAGGAUGGGGAGGAUCAAGGAAUUAUACUAGUGAAGAUAGGCGUGACUGUGAGGGAGCUGAGCACAGUGAAUUUAAAAACUUGGAAGGAGGAGUUUACAUGUUUGGAAAAAUAAUAAAGGUAUAUGUUAAUAACAUUGUCUCUGGGCAUUGAAGUGAAGAAACUAGAUAAAGAGCUGAGAUGAAGGAGAGAACCUAGACACCUAUUGAAAUCAGGGCCAAUGAAAGAAUAAAUAUACAAGAGUAGCAACCUAAUAUACACAUGGAACCAUGAAAGACAUAACCCCACUUUACUAAAUAACUCAAGAAACAUAAAAAACUUAAACCAAGAAGAUGUCUGAUGGGAACACAGAUUAGAUAUUCCAAUGAGACACUGCACGUGAUUCUCAAGCAGCUUCUUUGCCAGAGAGUCUGAGUGCUCACAUCCCAAUUAUUCCUCCGAUCACUCCACUGCAAUACUGAAGUUAACUCAGAGUCAAGACCUCUUUCUGCCACAUUGCAAGCAUCCUUGCACAGUGUGAUCCAGACUGAGUUCUUGGGUUAGGAACUUGUUGACCUCCUCGCUGGGUAUGAUGGUGGAUUCAGUAGACAAGUUCACCGGCACUAAAUUGUCCACUGAGUCAAGAUUAUUCCUCUGCAAUCAAUUCAACAACAGCAGUAAUGGGCUAAUCCAUUGCAGUGGUAUCUAUGAAGGAUAGUUGAGGAAUAACAUACCAUAACACCCUGUUUGGGGUCACCCUUUACCAGUAGGAACAUGGCACCAAUAUGAGCCUCCAACACUGUGUAACUCAGGCUGAAACUGACAUCUGACCACAGGAACUGAGUCUAUGAUCAUCAGUUCCUGCCUCAGUUCCAGACACAGGAUUUCCCCCAGUCUGCUUUCCAACUGCCACUGUUCCAGAAAUCUCAGAGAGAAAUACACGGAGACACAGAAUUUGGAUAAAAUAAUAAAAUUUCUUCUCGCGAGCAGGUGGGAAAGCCAGAAUCCGGUCUGGCUAGUGUCCGUUCCCUUUGUUCAGUGUUUCCCUUUUUAAAUACUUUUUAGCCAUUAUCUCAUCCCUAGUGGUCUUUGAUGUGUAAGUACAAUCCCAGUUCCCAUUCACAAGUCACAGACACAAGAUACAUUGUAAAUUCACCCUGGCAUGGUAACUUUGUAAGCUUAAUGAAGUUACCGGUUAGAGUCAGAUAAUCGUCACCUUAAACAAGUAGUUAUGGGAAAAGCAAAUCUUAAAAGAACACAUUACUUAUUUUGCUUCUACAACUACCUUAAUAUUCAGUCUGUUAAGUUAUCUGAAACUUUUCCGUAUCACCGCCUACCUCCUAUGACUGUCCUUCCCUCAUCCACUCUGAGAAUUUGGCAAGGCGAAGUGGCCAAUGGGCUGUUCUGGAACUGAGGUUCCAACAGCCAGCCUUUCCCUGCAAUGGCAUCCUUGCCAACUCCUGCUCUGUGUGGCUGCGUCCUGAGGCACGUGUACCACAGUCACUCACUAACUGUUGACUCUAGAGGGCUGCUUGGGAAGCAGUCUUAUGUUCUUCCCAACUGCCUCAACUGUGUCAGAGUCUCUUGGUCCCUACGCAGUUCUCUGUGAGCAGAGAAGUUAUUAGCUUCACGUUGCCUCCCAGCUGGCAGCCAGCCAGCCGCCCUCUGGUGUUGUUUUGCCAUGUGGGCCACCUCUUCUGUAUCGCUUAGUUCUAUUUUCUUCUCCUCUGUCAGUUCCCUCAAGGUUCCUGUGUCCUUCCCCUCACUGUUUCCUCUCCGAGCCACUGCCCAGACUCCAGACCCUUUGUCCUGGGGAAGCAAAGCUGCUGGCCCUUGCUGCUCGGCCAUCUAGUGGAGGUCACUCUGAAUCUUUCUUUUUAUAAGGGCAUAAAGCUAUGUAGAUUUUCUUCUAUAACUUUUCAAAUUUUGCAUUUCAAUUAAUGAACUUUCUUUAGUGACAUUUUGAACUCAUUAUAUAAUUUGUGUCCAUGCAUUUUUUUUCUCUCAAGGAUUCCAAAUGGUUCACUUUUUCCACAGUUCUGUAUCUAUUUGUGGAACAGACUCCUCUCUCCAUUAAGUGGCCUCUGACAAAGUCAGUUGAUCUUAUUUAUUUGGGUCUACCUUGGGCUAUGAAUUCUGCUCUAUGUAGCUACUGUUCUGUUCCUUCCCCAGUACCACACUCUUAUUACUGAGCUUUACAAUAAGUGCUCAGUGUAGAUUCUUGAAUUCUUCUUUUUCAGUCUUAUACCAUACAUUCUGCUUUUAGAACGAGUACGUUGCUGUGAUAGUUGUGGUGUCACUUUGAAUAAGAAAUGCCUAGCAGAUUGGUUUAGCACAGUUCUGGGUGUGUCUGGAUGAUUGACUUACUGAAGAGGAAAGACCCAACCUUGGGUGUGGGUGGCACUGACCAACAAGGUUAUGGCCUAGAUGGAAUAAAAAGGGAAAGAAGGAAGCCUUGCUUCUGCUUCUAAGGAGCUCCAGUCUUUGCUGUUGCCUUUGGACAUCCAUCUUCAGGCUUCCAGGGCAGACUCUUUAGCCUUCUAAUGCAGACCCCUAGGGUUCUCUGUGUGGACUCACAUGGGACUCUGAAGUGAGCUCCAUGCCUUUGACUUUUUUUCUCAGCUAUGUUUAUUUUUCCUUUAUUUUUAAAUUGAUUUUAUUGGUAUAAUUUAAAUAUAUAUAAAUAGCACAUUCAUCAAAGUGAAUUUGUACCUGUAUAUGGUAUAUCUUGAUUCCUCUUUUUUCCCAAUCCCUUCCCCUUUAUUCCACUUCCCUCCCCUCCUUAUUUAUGAAAACUUUGUUUCCAUUUUUUCCUUCUUUUCUCAUUUUUUUCUUUUCCCUUCCUUUUUUUCCUGCCCCUCUUUAGUUUCCCUUUCCUUUUGAAUAAUUGCUUCCUAUUUCACAUUAUCUAUUAUACAUUUUGGUCUUUAUUUAUCCUUUCAGUUUCUCACACCAGAGAGACAAUGUGAUAUUUACACUUGUCCGAUUUAUUUCACUUAAGGGUGUGGUCUCAAGGUGCAUCCAUUUAGCUAGAAAUGUCUCAAGUUUGUCUUUCUUUAUGGCUGAGUAGUACUCCAUUGUAUUAAAAAAACACAUCUUUUUUAUCCAUUCAUUCGUUGAUGGGCAUUUGGGUUGUUUCCAAGAUUUAGCUAUUACAAACUGUCACUCUAAACAUGGGUGUGCAUAUAUUGCUGUGGUAUGAUUCUUUUAAUUCUUUCAGGAAGAUCCCCAGCAGGGGAGUGCCUUUGACUUUUGACUGGGUCCUCCAGCUCUCCAGUGCAUAGACAGCCCUUUUGCAUUCUUCCACCCCUGACUCUGCAGGCAGCCAUUGUAAGCCUACCGUGUCAAUAUCUAGUAUCUAUCAUCUAUCUCAUCUAUUUCUCUAGUGAGCCCUAACUGAUAGUUGGCAUCUUUGGUGGGAAUUUGAUUGGGAUUCUGCUGGAUCUAUAGAUCAAGUUAGAGGAAUUGUCAUAAUAACAAAAAUGAUUGUACGCUUGAAUCAGUCAAUGUUUCUAGAGAAACAGAUAUAACACAAGAUCUAAAAAUAUAUAUGGAUUUACAAGAUUGGCUUAUAAGGGCCAACCAUAGAGUUGGAUGUGGAAGAGCGCAGAGGGUCUUUCUGCAUGCUAGAUACCAAAGGAUUCAGUGGAAGGUCUGGAGCUCACUUCAGUGUCCUGUGUGAGUCUCUAUCAGGAGGCCAAUGGGGUCUGUGAUGGAGGUUUGAAGAGUCUAUGCCGGAAGCCUGAAGGAUCUGCACCAGAAGCUGAAGAAUCUGCACAGGAAGCCAGGAAAUGACAUCCAAGGUAAAUGCAAAGACUGGAGCUCCUCUGAGGAAACAGAAGCAGAUCCAUCUUUCAUUUCCCCUUUAUACCGUCUAGGCGACAAGCUGCCCUAGGGCGUGGAAUUGCUGAACCAGUGUAGUUGGGCUGCUCUUACUCAAGUUAACACAGUCAGUCAACCAGUGCACUGCUGCUAAACAAAGGGUAUCUCUGCAUUUAUUUAUGUUUCCUUUGCUUCCUUUUACCCAUGUUUCAGUUUUCUGAAUGCAUAUUUGUAUAUACAGAAUCUGCCGCAAAAUGUCUACAUCGGGAAAAGAAAAAGUCGAAUAAAUAUUUUAAUACUGAGUUUACGGAGAGACCAUGAGGUUCGUGCAAAUUUGCCUCUCCAUUUAUAAGAGGUGCUCAAAGUGGUGGGCAUUGGCAGCGUUUGUGGUUAGAUUCCAGCUCUUCAGGCUCUAGGACGGGAUGUAUUAUACAUGAUGUUUAAACUCCUCAUUUCCAUCCCUCUUUUCCCCACCUCCCUCCUCUCCUUUCCAUUUCUCUUUUGUUUUCUCCCCUGAGGGACAGGUACCGAACCCUGGGCCUUGUGCAUCCCAGUCAAGCCUUCCAUCACUGAGCUGUGCCCCAGCCCAUUUUAAAAGCUGCUGCAGGUCUAUCUUGCAGAAUAGCGAUGUCCAUUCUGGGCACUCAGUAGGUGUAUACGCCACGUUCCGCUCAUUUUCAGUUCCUCUGCUUCCUCUUUCCCCCUUCCCUUGAUUCUCUUUCCUGUCUCCAAGAGUCCACCUUCUUAAAAAUUUUAGCCGGGCGUGCUGCUACUUGCCUGUAAUCCCAGGGCUUGGGAGUCAGAGGCAGGAAGACUGCAGUGAGUUCAAGGUCAGCCUGCGCCUCAAAGUAAGACCCUGUCUCAAAAACCCAAAAAUUAAAAAAUAAUUCCACUCGUUCCUAUAUUGUGGAUCUGUAGGUCAUCAAUUGACUUUUGUCUUCUGGACUUCUACUUUGGUUCUGGUUAUCUCUAUCAUUUAUUUUGUGUUGCUAUAACUGAGGACUUUAGACUAAAGUAAUUAAUAAGUAAAGUAAGCGUUUGUUGUUGUUUUUUUUUUUGGUACGGGGAAUCGAACUUGGUUCCUUGCGCUUGCUUGCGCAGCAGGCGGCGAAACCACUGAGCUAAAUCCCUGGCCCAAGUAAGUGUAUUUUUACAAUUCUGGAUACUAGAAAGUCCAAGGUUGAGGUACUGCCUCUGUUAAGGAUCUACUUGCUAGUAGGGACUGAGCCCUGAAGUGGUGCUCAAUGUAAUUGGUGAGAAAAAUUGUGCCAGAGAAAGCUUGCUUUUAUAACAAAACCACUCCCUUGAUACCUUGUUGAUCCAUUAUUUAUGAAUGUGUUCAUUCUUUUUUUUUGUACUGGGGAUUGAACUCGGGACCUUGCGCUUGCGAGGCAGGAGGUGGAACCACUGAGCUAAAUCUCCAUCCCCGAAAGUAUUCAUUCUUAUUAGCAGAGCCCUUAAAACGAAAUCACCUCCCAAAGUUUCCAUUAGAAUAUGACUUUGGGGGUGAAGUCUGCACCUCAUGAAUUCUAUUUUUGUUUUGUUUUAAGACAGGGUCUUCCUAUGUAGCUCAGGCUGGCCUUGAAGCCUUUGGAAUGCCAGGAUUACAGGCGUGGGCCACCAUACCCAGCUAUACCACUUGAAUUCUGGAGAAUGAACUUUUCAAUCCACAGCACCACCCAUUCAGAUCAGGGCAUGGUGGGCUCUAUUUCAGUUUCCAUGUCCAAAGUUAUGAUAUUUAGGAGUGGGUGCAAUCCUGCUAAACAGUGCCAGGGACUGCCCUGUGUUGAGCCCCAGAGCCUCCUUCUCCAGGGGCCCCAGUGUACUGGCCCCUCAUGGUCAUCAGCAUCCACAGUGAGGACCGAGCCUUCUACUCCUCCUUGGGACUGGCCCUGGAGACACCCUGGCAGCUUCCUGAUGAAGGGGCCCACAAAGGAGGAAAAGUACUUAUGUUAAAUCAUGUCAUCAGUUCCUGCUGUGUCAGAUCUGCAAGAGGCCCUGUGUACUAGGUAGGGUUCCCUCGUGUCAACUCUCCACAGGAGCCUAUGGACAAUGACAUGGGAGGUGCAUGAGUCAAGUCUGGGUUCAGGGGCUGUGUGUGCUUGGUAUGUGACGAGAGGGGAUCUAGCUGAGCAGUGUGUUGCUGGAGUGCAGCCUUGGGUCUAUACCAUGCCUCCUUCUUUUUCUUUUUGCUUUUUGGCCACCAUGAAGUGAGCAGCCGCCUCUGCUACAUGUUCCCAUUACCACUGUCCUCUGCUUCCACUCAGGAUCAAAGCAACAGAGCCAACUGAUCGUGAUGAAACUCCUGAAACCAUGAGCCAAAAUAAACAUUUCCUCCUGUAGAUUACUUUUCUCAGGUAUAUUACACAGCGACAGAAAGCUAACACAGAUGGAUCAUUUAUAUACUACUAAAAAUGGAAUUAAAUAAGAAAUGUGCCUAAGAAUGUUCAUAAAGCCUUCAGUCAUAAUGACCAAACUAGGAAGUAGCCCAGAUGUCUUUCAAUAGUAAAAUGGGUGAAGAAAUUGAAAUGCAUGCAUACAAUAGAAUACUAUUCAGCACUACAAAAGUCCAAACUUUGUAGUACAUACGCUGUGUGAAUCUCCCAAACUGUUCUGUUUUGUUUUGUUUUCUGGUACCAGGGAUCAAACUCUGGACCUUGUGUUUGCGAGGUAGGCGCUGGAACCAGUGAGCUACAUCCCUGGCCCAGUCUUGCAAACUUUGUAGGGAGGGAGGUGGCUGGGCAAAAAUAAUAUAUAUUGUCUGAUUGUAAGCAAAGGAACCCAUGGUGAGAAGAGUCACAGCAGUAACUCUCAUCUGUGAGCACAAAAAAUGCCAGAAAGGAACACAAGAUAAUUUUCUAGAGAAGAUGAAAGUAUUCUUAAAAGUAGCGAAGAUUUUACGGGUGUAUUUGUUAAAGUGAUACAGUUACAAUUUAUGCGUUUCAAUAUACAUGUGUACUUCUGGGCACAGAAAAAAGAAAAGAACUUUAAAAAUUAAGUUUUGGAGAUAGUGAAUAAGUUGAAGGUUAGAGAAACAAAAACUAGCACAUGGUUAGUAAUUAUUGAAGCUGAGUGACAGGUCUAUUAUUCAAUUUAUUUUAUGUACUUUUAAUAUUUUUUGUAAUAAAACACUUGUAUAAAAAGUCUAAAUUGGCCAGGUGUGGUUGUGCACGCCUGUAAUCCCAGCACUUGGGAGGCUGAAGCAGGAGGAUUGCCACAAGUUUGAGGCCAGCCUGGACUACACAGUGAGUUCAAGGCUAGCCUGAGCUACAUACAAAACAAAAACAACAAAAUCAACUACAAAAAAGUCCAAGUUGAUCUACGAUGUUACCUUGUAGAGAGAAGCUGCUCCAUUUCCUGGUUGUGUAAGUGUGUUCACUUUGUAAUAUUUGCAGUAUUGUACUCUACACAAAUGCUUUGUCCAUGCAUUUCUAUAUG
rnacentral:lncRNA from 1 species